rnacentral:rRNA from 1 species
AACGAACGCUGGCGGCACGUUUUAAGCAUGCAAGUCGAAUGGCAGUGGGGGCAACCCCAUGAGAAUGGCGAACGGGUGAGUAACACGUAGGUGAUCUGCCUGACGGAUGGGGAUAGCUUGUGGAAACACAGGGUAAUACCGAAUGAGCUGAUGAGACUUUGGUUUUGUUAGUAAAGGUGCUACGGCACCGCCGACAGAGGAGCCUGCGGCUGAUUAGCUAGUUGGUGGGGUAAAGGCCUACCAAGGCGACGAUCAGUAGCCGGCCUGAGAGGGGGUACGGCCAAACUGGAACUGGGACACGGUCCAGACUCCUACGGGAGGCAGCAGCUAAGAACCUUCCGCAAUGGGCGAAAGCCUGACGGAGCGAUGCCGCGUGAUCGAUGAAGGUCGAGAGAUUGUAAAGAUCUUUUCUACAUGAGGAAUAAGUCUGGGAGGGAAUGCCUGGAUGAUGACGUUAGUGUAGGAAUAAGCCCCGGCUAAUUACGUGCCAGCAGCCGCCGUAA